UAAAAACGUGUGAAGCCCAGCUAACGUCAGAGAAUCCCAAGCAAGCUCUCCUGCCGUUCUCAUCAUUUUGGCUGGAUGUGUCUUUCCUGACAAGAUACCCUCAGAACAGACCCAUAACCUCAGAAGCAGACUCGGUAAUGCUCCCGCACUAACGUAAUGCUGAACAACACUCUUCUCCAAGCCACACUUCUAGUGUCUACAGUUUAAGGGCACACAGGGCGCCGUCUGUGGCUGGUCCCUCCUACCCCGCCAUCCACAGAAGGCACGCCACGGGGCUCGUCAGAGAAAGGGCAGCCCCUCCCGAUGUGUGUGUGUGACACACGUCAGCAUUCCCUACACGCAGGCAACCUGGGGGCCAUGGUCGUGAGCAGAACACUUAGCCCCAGUCCCUGAGAGGCCCACUGUCCCCAAAACCCAGAGUUACAGAGCUUCUGAGGCUGCAGAGCAAACAGCCAGCACAGCCCAGUGGAGGCAGUGACCCCAAGGCUUCUCCUCCUGCCUCUCUGGGACCGGCGGCCACAGGUUGGUCUUCGCUUUUGAAGCUGAAGUAGUUCUGGAAGAAAAUGCCACGAUGUGAGUCACUGGAGGAGAGAUGCACUUACCGAUCA